rnacentral:rRNA from 1 species
ACUCCUGCGGGAGGCAGCAGUGGGGAAUAUUGGACAAUGGGGGCAACCCUGAUCCAGCCAUGCCGCGUGAGUGAUGAAGGCCCUAGGGUUGUAAAGCUCUUUUGUGCGGGAAGAUAAUGACGGUACCGCAAGAAUAAGCCCCGGCUAACUUCGUGCCAGCAGCCGCGGUAAUACGAAGGGGGCUAGCGUUGCUCGGAAUCACUGGGCGUAAAGGGUGCGUAGGCGGGUCUUUAAGUCAGGGGUGAAAUCCUGGAGCUCAACUCCAGAACUGCCUUUGAUACUGAGGAUCUUGAGUCCGGAAGAGGUGAGUGGAACUGCGAGUGUAGAGGUGAAAUUCGUAGAUAUUCGCAAGAACACCAGUGGCGAAGGCGGCUCACUGGUCCGGUACUGACGCUGAGGCACGAAAGCGUGGGGAGCAAACAGGAUUAGAAACCCCGGUAGUCC